rnacentral:lncRNA from 1 species
UUAAUUUUGUUGUGAGUGGAGAUAAUGAGGGGAUUAUUCUCAGUUGUUGCUUACACAGAACAAGAUUUUAAUACAUUGAUCAGUUUAGCUAUUUGAACAUGAUUCUUGAUAGGAAGACCUUUAGUUGGUUUAUUCAGAGCUUUUCUUCCUCUUUUUAUUUAUUUUCUCUCUUUCUUUCUUUCAUCUAUUUUUUUGCUAUAUCUGCAGUUUCUGUUUUUUUUCUUCAUUUCAUAAUUUAGUGGAAAUCUCAAGUAAUACUUGAAUCAACUCUUAUUAUUCAUUCCCUUUGUUGUUGCUGACUCUAUAGUCAAAGAUCCAAGCCAGGUAUCUCACUGGUGGCCUUAUAAAAUGCAAUGCUCUUUCAAGUUUAUAUCUUUAAGGCUAUCCAAAAUCAGUUUAUCAACACUGAUUUUUCUCUACUGUAUAAUACGCAGCUUUUUUUCUAAUUGGGAUGGCUCUCUCUCUCUUGCUCCUGCUUUAUCAAUCUUGUCUCCAUGACUUUUCUUAAAGUUUCCCAUUGAAAAUGUCCUUUUACUUAUUCUGACCACUCAAGCAAGGUGUAUCAAUUCCUGAAGGUCCCAUAUUCAGUCCCAUGUUCUCCAUGACUCCUUUAUGAAGCCACAUGAGCUAUUCCUUUAUCAGCUAUUUUUUCCUUCUUUGAAUUUAUGUUACUGCUCUUUUAGCCAACUCUGAUGGUUUGCAUCUAACCCCAUGUUGCCUUAUAUUCUUUUCUCAAAUCCUCUUUUGUAUUCCUAUCCAUCCCAGACUAGAGUACUCACUUCAUCAGCAAAGGUACUAAAGUUUGUGCCUCUUUCAUAUUUCCCAAGAGCCAGAGACAGUGCCAGUCACAGAACAGGUGCUUAAUACAAACCGGUUAUCUGAUUCUAGAGUCCUACUAGAGUAUCAAAAUGAUGAUUAUACUAUCAGAAAAUCAUCUGUCAUCAUUCUCUGAAUUAUCACAUCUCCUGCUCAACUUUUCAUACUUCAUGUUUCUUUCUAGAGAUUACUUUUUUCUCAUUGUAAGGGCAAUGUCUGGGAGAGGGAGACUACUCUACUCUGCCAUCCAUUUUUCCAUAAGUCUGGUAGAAAAUGGAUGAUUCAAAUAACUUCUUCCUAAUAUGAUUUAUGUGAAAGGGAAGUAUUUUCUAUUUCCCCCUUAUGUGCUCUUGUUUUGAAUUGCAAAUAUUCACUUUCACAUAUAUUUAAAAGUUAUUUUGACAGUAUGUAAUGGAGAUUUAAAACAUUCUGAACUUGGCUGUUUUCCCUUGAUCAAAUCUUUUUUUAGUAGAAACACUGUAAAUACACCAACAAGUGUCAGAACAUACAGUAUAGUGAACAGCCAAGGACAAUCUGUUAUGAUAUUCUGCAUAUUAAAGACCAGUUUGUUUAUGCCACCAGGAGGAAUUCAUUUUUAGUAUUUUGAUUUGAUGGAUUUAGUGAGAAUGAUAUAAUUUGCUUCACUAAACAACAGUGCCACAGCAAAAGGAUAUCCAUUACUCUUUACUUGGUGCUAAAAGGAAGAAAUUGUAAUGAUGGGAAUAGUUAAGGAGGCCAAAGAGGCAGUAUUCUUAGAAUUAGCAGAAGGAAAUUCAGCUAUGAUACUUGGAAGUUGAAUGGCAAUAAUUCUAUUCAAAUAGGUCAGUAGAAUGGGUCAGGAACUUGCUCCAUGGUAAGAGAAGUGAAACUGCUAGCUCUCUUACAUAGAAGCCUUAGAACUAAGGAAUGCCCUCCAGAGAAUAACUGGUAUGAGCUAUAAUCUUCCUGACUGAUGUUCCAAAAUGGGGAUUGAGCUGUGAGAAGGAUCAGAAGUAAUUUCUGAGUUGUCAGACUUAGAGGAAGCAAAACCACAGGCUUUCUUUCCACAUCUUCGUUUUUUGUUUUUUUUUCCCCCCAUUUCCUCCUUCUCUAACUUUAGCUUCUGUCCCUCUUACUGCAUCCAAUUUUCAUAUAAGGGAUUAGACAGGCCCUUAGAGAGGAAUGAUUUAUUAAAAGCUGCUAGUCUUAUCUAACCCUGGGAAAUAAACAAGGGGUAGUGGAAAGGGAGGUGGGUGGGGUUUGGGGUGACUGGGUGACGGGCACUGAGGCGAGCACUUGGUAGGGUGAGCACUGGGUAUUACACUAUAUGUUGGCAAAUUGAACUCCAAUUAAAAAAUAAAUACAAAAUAUUUAAAAAGCUACUGGUCUUAUGAGAAGGACAAAAUCAGAUGUGUUGGGUGCUGUUUUUUGAUUAUUCUAAUGGCACAGAAAAAGAAGCAACACUCAGAAUCAAAGAUGAGCAAAAUUAAUUAAAUCAAUAUUCAUUAACAUGUAUUUCUUAAGGGAGGAGAUAUAAAGAUAUAUAAUAUUUCAUGCUUUCAAAUUGUUUGUAAUCAGUUGAAAGUUGAAAAAAGUUAUAUACUGAAACAGUUAUAUAAGAAAAAAGCAACUGACAGUUUAAGGGAAUAUGUGUUAAGAGCAAAUUAACUGUUACAGAUCAAAGUGUGGAAGAGAUCAUCACUGUUGACUAGGGGUGGUCCAAGAAAUGUAGCUUUGGGGCAACACUGUAUAUAAUAUUCAAACAGGUAAACCAUGGCUAGGAUCAAGUUUGAGUAAAGGGCCAGAGGCAAUUCUAGAUAGGUUUGCCUCAGAUAGAAGGAUUUUAAUGGUAGAAAAUUGUGGGAAAGUGACUUGGCGUCAGCUUGUGCCAAGGUAGAGAGCCAGGGCCUAUUCAGAAUGUGCUGUAGAACCACUGACAGUGACCAUGGGAAAGAAAGAUGUGAGCAUUGUAACAGAACAGGAAUUGAGGGUCCAGGUCACUGAUAAGGGCUGGGAGAAUUGGAUAGGGGUGGUAUCUAGAUCACAGAAGGGUUAGAAGGGAUGCAUUUUGAUAUCUAGCAUAUUAAAGUGAGUGGAAGUGUCCAUAAACAACAAAAAAAAAAAAA